UACGAAGGGUGCAAGCGUUAAUCGGAAUUACUGGGCGUAAAGGGUGCGUAGGCGGUUCGUUAAGUCUGUUGUGAAAUCCCCGGGCUCAACCUGGGAAUGGCAAUGGAUACUGGCGGGCUAGAGUGUGGCAGAGGAUGGUGGAAUUCCCGGUGUAGCGGUGAAAUGCGUAGAGAUCGGGAGGAACAUCAGUGGCGAAGGCGGCCAUCUGGGACAACACUGACGCUGAAGCACGAAAGCGUGGGGAGCAAACAGG
rnacentral:rRNA from 1 species